rnacentral:lncRNA from 1 species
GAAGCCAUGGAACCACCAUCAUCAUGUCAUCUUCUUCAUCAUCUUCUUCUCGCCAUCUUCAUCAAUCAUGAGGUGAGUUCUUGGUAGAACUUUAGAUUUUAAAUAUUAAGGUUUGAUAAACCAUGGAAUUUAUAGUAUGAUAGAUGAUAUUAUGAUGAGUUCCUCCAUGAAUUAUGUGAAUUUUCAUUAAUGAUGCUUCGAUGUAUGUUUUCUAUUGGUUGGGUUCUUGUGAUUUAAUGAUGUGGUUGUUGUUUGGAAGUUUGUUCAUGGGUUGUUAUGUUCAUGUCAAGAGAUUGGUAGUUAGAAGUGAAGAAAACAUUAUGUAGGUUGAAAAAGUGGAAAUGGUUUGGGACCAAUCGAUUGGUCCUUGGAAGGACCAUUGGUUUAGUGAAAUUUUUGAGAGAAAUUCACAUUCUAUUGACAUAAAUUAAAAUAUGUCAUCAAUGGGGGUCAAACCCGAGACCUCCUUAGAAUGGUACAAGCUUUACCACCAGGCCAAUGAUUUUGUUGUUGAAUACUUAUGCAAUGAAUAAAUGUUAAUCUAAAUCUUGAUUAAGAUAGAUUAAUGAAUUAAUUGAAUGUUAUAACUCCAUUUUGGACACGGACGAAUGCGUUAGAAAGAUAACGUAAAGAGCUAUUAUUAUCGUUCCAUGUUAUAAAAUAUUAUGUGAUUUAUAAAUGCUAUGAAUUAUAUUAUGAUGAAAGUUAAAUAUUGUUGUUAUGUUGAAGGUGAAAUAACAUGAUUAAAAACCUUACAAAGAUGAGUGAGGAAAAAAUAUUAUGUGAUUUAUAAAUGCUAUGAAUUAUAUUAUGAUGAAAGUUAAAUAUUGUUGUUAUGUUGAAGGUGAAAUAACAUGAUUAAAAACCUUACAAAGAUGAGUGAGGAAACCUAGGAGAAUAGCUUGAUUAAUAACUUAGAAAGAUAAUCCAGGUUAUGGAAAUGAGAAUACGGUAUUCAUUCGUACGACGCUUAUGUGGAGGUCGUGGACGAAUUGUUGCCAUGAUUGAGAAUGAGACGCAUUGUUUGGAACAUGCCAUGUUAUUAUUUGUGUAUUGUGGUGAAUGAAGUCACCUGUGAUUGAUGGAUUUUGUUAUGGUUCGUGGAACCGAUGAUUGUGGAACCGAUCAUGUAUUCAGAAUGUGUGUUUUAUUUUGAUGGUACACAUCUCUAUUGGUAUUCUUAGACGUGUAAGGAUUGAGAUGUGGGACCAAUGAUUCGAGCCUCAAUUGGGUUUGAGUCCAACCAUGAUAGACAUCGGGGAAAGGUGGAAACCUAAGUGGGUUAAAGUCUCAUACGGUGAAAGAUACUCAAAAUGGGUUUGAGUCCCAUACGAGUGAUGGUUUUUAAAAGUGAGUUCGAAUCCCAUACGAGUGAUGAUUCUUAAAAGUGGGUUCGAGUCCCAUAGGGGAACCUAAUAUCGACCGCGAAAGUCGAAUCAUACGAGCAUGCAUGAACCGGGUCUGGCUUAGACAUAAGUCCGUUCGGGAAUUGAUGUUUCUUGAUAUGAAUAAUGAUCGUGGUUGAGUUAUGAGAACUCAAAUGCAUGUUGCUAUACAAUUGCGAGAUAGUUUCCCAUCACUCAAGUCUUCGUUCCCUUGUUGACUUGAGUUGGAUAUGAGUUGAAUAUUGAUUAGAAACCCCUAUAGAGCCGAGUGGACCCAUAGGAUAGGAGAACUCACUGAGACUAUUAUCUCAUCCCGUUAUUGUUGUUAUUUUUCAGGUAUUCUUUACAGGUUGAAUUCAAUAGAAGCUGUUUAUGGAUGUUUCAAGGGACACAGUUAUUCGGAUCUUCCGCUGUGGAGUUGUGUGCAAUGAAGAUAUUUCACAUAGUUCUUAGAUUUUUAUUGUUUAGGCACUAUUGUAUAACAUGUUCCAUUGAUGUUUUAGUUUGGACAUGUAUAUAUAUAUAUUGAUGUCAUUAGGCACUUAUGUUGGAUCAGUACCAAUUAUUAACACUUGUAUGAUAUUAUUCUAGAUAUAUAUUAUACGGGCUGUUACAUUCCG